UGGGGAAUUUUGGACAAUGGGGGCAACCCUGAUCCAGCCAUCCCGCGUGUGCGAUGAAGGCCUUCGGGUUGUAAAGCACUUUUGGCAGGAAAGAAACGGCACGGGCUAAUAUCCUGUGCAACUGACGGUACCUGCAGAAUAAGCACCGGCUAACUACGUGCCAGCAGCCGCGGUAAUACGUAGGGUGCAAGCGUUAAUCGGAAUUACUGGGCGUAAAGCGUGCGCAGGCGGUUCGGAAAGAAAGAUGUGAAAUCCCAGGGCUUAACCUUGGAACUGCAUUUUUAACUACCGGGCUAGAGUGUGUCAGAGGGAGGUGGAAUUCCGCGUGUAGCAGUGAAAUGCGUAGAUAUGCGGAGGAACACCGAUGGCGAAGGCAGCCUCCUGGGAUAACACUGACGCUCAUGCACGAAAGCGUGGGGAGCAAACA
rnacentral:rRNA from 1 species